UGGGGAAUAUUGGACAAUGGGCGAAAGCCUGAUCCAGCCAUGCCGCGUGUGUGAAGAAGGUCUUCGGAUUGUAAAGCACUUUAAGUUGGGAGGAAGGGCAGUAAGCUAAUACCUUGCUGUUUUUGACGUUACCGACAGAAUAAGCACCGGCUAACUCUGUGCCAAG
rnacentral:rRNA from 1 species